rnacentral:rRNA from 1 species
UACGGAGGAUCCGAGCGUUAUCCGGAUUUAUUGGGUUUAAAGGGUGCGCAGGCGGGGGAUUAAGUCGGCGGUGAAAUUUUGCAGCUCAACUGUAAAAGUGCCUUCGAAACUGGUCUCCUUGAGUGUAGAUGAAGUAGGCGGAAUUUGUGGUGUAGCGGUGAAAUGCAUAGAUAUCACGAGGAACUCCGAUUGCGCAGGCAGCUUACUAAACUACUACUGACGCUCAGGCACGAAGGCGUGGGGAUCAAACAGGAUUAGAUACCCUGGUA